GACGAACGCUGGCGGCGUGCUUAACACAUGCAAGUCGAACGGAAAGGCCCUGCUUUUGUGGGGUGCUCGAGUGGCGAACGGGUGAGUAACACGUGAGUAACCUGCCCUUGACUUUGGGAUAACUUCAGGAAACUGGGGCUAAUACCGGAUAGGAGCUCCUGCUGCAUGGUGGGGGUUGGAAAGUUUCGGCGGUUGGGGAUGGACUCGCGGCUUAUCAGCUUGUUGGUGGGGUAGUGGCUUACCAAGGCUUUGACGGGUAGCCGGCCUGAGAGGGUGACCGGCCACAUGGGGACUGAGAUACGGCGCAGACUCCUACGGGAGGCAGCAGUGGGGAAUAUUGCACAAUGGGCGGAAGCCUGAUGCAGCAACGCCGCGUGCGGGAUGACGGCCUUCGGGUUGUGAACCGCAUUCGCCUGUGACGAAGCGUGAGUGACGGUAAUGGGUAAAGAAGCACCGGCUAACUACGUG
rnacentral:rRNA from 1 species